rnacentral:tRNA from 2 species
GCCGAAAUAGCUCAGUUGGGAGAACGUUAGACUGAAGAUCUAAAUGUUCCCGGUUCAAUCCCGGGUUUCGGCA